rnacentral:rRNA from 1 species
UGGCCGGCUGUUCAUUGCUGAUUCGUGCCUGCGGAGGAUCAUUA